AUUAUUUUGGCCAAAUGGAAUGGGAGCCUCACUACAUGCCAUAAUUUGUGAUUUCUUACAGGGAGUGUGAUGCUGGCAUAGCAAGAAACAGCAAGUGAAGUGAGUGGCUGUCUGAAAAACCAAUUUAAGAUGAUGAUAAGCACAGUAAUGAUGAGAGGAUGUGCAGGGGCAGUGUGUCUGUGAAGCUGCAGAAUAACCUUGACGGGAAGCAGUGCUUACCAGGCAUAAGUCUCUCUGCUGAGGGCAUGGCAAAGACCAGGGGACCCUGUCAACACAGCUGAAAGCUAAGAAG
rnacentral:lncRNA from 1 species